rnacentral:snRNA from 1 species
GUUCAGUUUGACUGCAUAUAUCCUUAUAUUGGAAGGAUGCAUAGAAGAUUAGCAUGGCCCCUGCACAUGGAUAACAUGCAAAUUUAUAAAGCACACCACAAUGAG